AGUGAACGCUGGCGGUAGGCCUAACACAUGCGAGUCGAACGGCAGCACAGUAAGAGCUUGCUCUUACGGGUGGCGAGUGGCGGACGGGUGAGGAAUACAUCGGAAUCUACUUUUUCGUGGGGGAUAACGUAGGGAAACUUACGCUAAUACCGCAUACGACCUACGGGUGAAAGCAGGGGAUCUUCGGACCUUGCGCGAUUGAAUGAGCCGAUGUCGGAUUAGCUAGUUGGCGGGGUAAAGGCCCACCAAGGCGACGAUCCGUAGCUGGUCUGAGAGGAUGAUCAGCCACACUGGAACUGAGACACGGUCCAGACACCUACGGGAGGCAGCAGUGGGGAAUAUUGGACAAUGGGCGCAAGCCUGAUCCAGCCAUACCGCGUGGGUGAAGAAGGCCUUCGGGUUGUAAAGCCCUUUUGUUGGGAAAGAAAAGCAGCAGGUUAAUACCCCGCUGUUCUGACGGUACCCAAAGAAUAAGCACCGGCUAACUUCGUG
rnacentral:rRNA from 1 species